GAAGUCCCCAGCAUGAGAGCAGACUAAGAACACUUCUCUCAUAGAGAAAGAGCUCAAGAGGACACCAGCAACCUACUACAGGGAAGACUGCUCUACCUGAUCUCCAUCAUGUCCCCAGCACCCAGCACAGUGCCUGGCAUACAGCAGGUGCUCCAUAAAUGGUCCUUGCUGAAUGAACCACCUACAGCACUGUAAAGGAGAGAGAGAGAGAGCAAGAGCAGGGGAGAAGCAGAGAGAGAGGAAGAGAGAGAGGCUCCAUGCUGUCAGCACAGAGAUUGAUGUGGGUCUCAAACCCACGAACCAUGAGAUCAUCCCCUCUCUCCUGACCUCGCCUGCCAACGUAGGUUGCCUGAGCUACACUGGCAGCCUCACUCCUGCAACACCAGGUGCCGCCCCCCCAACCCCUCUCCCCCCUGGACCCCGUUAGCAAUCAGAGUGUAGAGGCCUCAAUCCACUACCGAAGAGCUUCAGCCGGCUGCCUGCCCUGUCCUCAGAAACCGGCGAGGACCAGGCCUGCUUCCAAUAUCUUUGCUUGCCUCAUGUAUUUUGAUAUUGUCUAUG